rnacentral:rRNA from 1 species
AGACCUUACCUACCCUUGACAUGUACGGAAUUCCGCUGAGAGGUGGAAGUGCCCGAAAGGGAGCCGUAACACAGGUGCUGCAUGGCUGUCGUCAGCUCGUGUCGUGAGAUGUUGGGUUAAGUCCCGCAACGAGCGCAACCCUUGUCCCUAGUUGCUACGCAAGAGCACUCCAGGGAGACUGCCGGUGACAAACCGGAGGAAGGUGGGGAUGACGUCAAGUCCUCAUGGCCCUUAUGGGUAGGGCUUCACACGUCAUACAAUGGUCGGAACAGAGGGUUGCCAAGCCGCGAGGUGGAGCCAAUCCCAGAAAACCGAUCGUAGUCCGGAUCGCAGUCUGCAACUCGACUGCGUGAAGCUGGAAUCGCUAGUAAUCGCGGAUCAGCAUGCCG